rnacentral:misc_RNA from 1 species
GAUGAAGAACGUAGCAAAAUGCGAUAAGUAAUGUGAAUUGCAGAAUUCAGUGAAUCAUCGAAUCUUUGAACGCACAUUGCGCCCGCCAGUAUUCUGGCGGGCAUGCCUGUUCGAGCGUCAUUUCAACCCUCAAGCACAGCUUGGUGUUGGGACUCGCGUUAAUUCGCGUUCCCCAAAUUGAUUGGCGGUCACGUCGAGCUUCCAUAGCGUAGUAGUAAAACCCUCGUUACUGGUAAUCGUCGCGGCCACGCCGUUAAACCCCAACUUCUGAAUGUUGACCUCGGAUCAGGUAGGAAUACCCGCUGAACUUAAACAUAUCAAUAAGCGGAGGA